rnacentral:rRNA from 1 species
UACAGAGGGUGCGAGCGUUGUCCGGAAUCACUGGGCGUAAAGGGCGCGUAGGUGGCGCUCCAAGUCUGUGGUGAAAGCUCGACGCUCAACGUCGAGUCGGCCAUAGAGACUGGAGGGCUCGAGCACUGUAGGGGCAGAUGGAAUUCCGGGUGUAGCGGUGGGAAUGCGUAGAGAUCCGGAAGAACACCGGUGGCGAGGCGGUCU